rnacentral:rRNA from 1 species
GUGGGGAAUAUUGGACAAUGGGCGAAAGCCUGAACCAGCCAUGCCGCGUGUGUGAAGAAGGUCUUCGGAUUGUAAAGCACUUUAAGUUGGGAGGAAGGGUAGUAACCUAAUACGUUGCUACUUUGACGUUACCGACAGAAUAAGCACCGGCUAACUUCGUGCCAGCAGCCGCGGUAAUACGAAGGGUGCAAGCGUUAAUCGGAAUUACUGGGCGUAAAGCGCGCGUAGGUGGUUCAGUAAGUUGGAAGUGAAAUCCCCGGGCUCAACCUGGGAACUGCUUUCAAAACUGCUGAGCUAGAGUACGGUAGAGGGUGGUGGAAUUUCCUGUGUAGCGGUGAAAUGCGUAGAUAUAGGAAGGAACACCAGUGGCGAAGGCGACCACCUGGACUGAUACUGACACUGAGGUGCGAAAGCGUGGGGAGCAAACAGGAUUAGAAACCCCAGUAGUCC